rnacentral:rRNA from 1 species
AAUCAACGCUGGCGGCGUGCCUCAGACAUGCAAGUCGAACGCGAAAGUCCCCUUUGGGGGAUAAGUAGAGUGGCGCACGGGUGAGUAACACGUAGGUAAUCUACCUUCGGGUGGGGAAUAACCCAGGGAAACUUGGGCUAAUACCGCAUAAUGCAGCGGCACCACAUGGUGACAGUUGUUAAAGCGGGGGAUCUUCGGAUCUCGCGCCUGAAGAGGAGCCUGCGGCGGAUUAGCUAGNGGUAAGGUAACGGCUUACCAAGGCGACGAUCCGUAGCCGGCCUGAGAGGGCGGUCGGCCACACUGACACUGACAUACGGGUCAGACUCCUACGGGAGGCAGCAGUC